AACCCUAGCCACCCCUCCCCCUAAUCCCCUUUGGAUUUGCAGCCACCCCCUCCCCUCUCCCUUGUGCAGCCGCCCCCCUCUCUAGCCCUUGGCUGCCCCCCCUUCUCCCAUCUUCUCCUUCCUCAAACACUUGCAGCCACCACCUCACAACCCUAGCCCCCCCAUCCCCUCCUCUCCUAGGUGCAGCCCUCCCACUUGAUCUAUGUCGCGUUGGUGCAAAUCUCCAAUUGGAAUUUGGUGGAAGGAAGAAGGAGGGAGGAAAGAGGGAGAAUUCAAGGCACUUGAUCCUUACUUUUGGGAAAGGAGGGAAGUAGCAGCACGACCACUACACAUUUAAAUAAAUGUACCACUGCUUAGUAAUAAUGUUAAACAGAGAUUUAAGUCUAGGGGAUUAAUAUGUUCUAGUCUUCAUGAUAGUCGAAUUUGCUUUUGGGUUGGCUGGAUUCCCUCUCUUUUUAUUUGGUCAUGAAUAUGCAUUAAUAUCUCUGCGUUCUAUUUAUACUACGUGAAUUAUCUUUCUUUUACAUUAUGUAUAAACUUUAUGUCCCUCUCGUUAUGCUACUUUCGGGGGAGGUGCUGCCAGAUUUUGCUUUACUUUUUGUCUCUA